rnacentral:rRNA from 1 species
UACGUAGGGGUCGAGCGUUGUCCGGAGUUACUGGGCGUAAAGCGCGUGCAGGUGGCUCAUUACGCCCGGCGUGAAAGCCCCCGGCUCAACCGGGGAGGGUCGUCGGGGACGGGUGAGCUUGAGGGUAGCAGGGGCUGGUAGAAUUCCCGGUGUAGUGGUGAAAUGCGUAGAGAUCGGAAGGAAUACCCGUGGCGAAGGCGGCCAGCUGGGCUACACCUGACACUGAGACGCGAAGGCGUGGGGAGCGAACGGG